UACGGAGGGUGCGAGCGUUGUCCGGAAUUAUUGGGCGUAAAGGGUGCGUAGGCGGCCUGACAAGUCUGAUGUGAAAUCCCUGGGCUCAACCCAGGGCCUGCAUCGGAAACUGUCGGGCUUGAGUAUGGGAGAGGUGAGUGGAAUUUCCGGUGUAGCGGUGAAAUGCGUAGAUAUCGGAAGGAACACCUGUGGCGAAAGCGGCUCACUGGACCAUUACUGACGCUGAGGCACGAAAGCUAGGGGAGCAAACAGG
rnacentral:rRNA from 1 species